rfam:Gossypium arboreum cultivar AKA8401 contig_74308_3, whole genome shotgun sequence.
UAGCGUCCAAAGGAGCUCCCAACACUUCAACACUGAAAGGAGGUGAUGGCACAAUUCCUACGGCUGCUAGCUCAUGGAUAUCCCUAGCUGCGCCACCCUGCGUCAAUUACUGCGUGGGCUAGGGUUUGCAUGACCUGGGAGACGUGAUUUGCCUUCUUUUUCGGUAUUGAGGUGAAGGGAGCUCCUUUUGCUCCUUCU